rnacentral:lncRNA from 1 species
GCUUCCCAUUCUCUUAGGAGGCUGCAUUUGUGGCGCUAAAAAAAGGGAUGGGCGUGGGAGAUUCCAGGACUUGUGCUCGCUGAAGAUACAACUGUUAGUCCAAGGGGUGACCCUGGAGAUCAUUACCAAAAUUUAAAAAUUUCACCACUGGGCACACAUGUUACCCUUCUCGUGAUGGCAUGGCAAAGCUUGAUUUGCAAGAGUUUCUUUUGGAUUGUCCCCAAUGAUUCCCUUUAAAAAUAGGAGCUCCUUCAAGCUCCUGUAUCAGCAGUGCUUGCACCUCAUAGGUGAUGAUCAUGAGGGGGACAAGGAGCCUCUAGACUUAAGAGACAAGUUGCCAGCAUUCUCCAGAUGGAGUGUUUCCCUCCGCAGCACCCCCUGCUGGUCAGUUUGACAAGCAGGUGAACAGAAGUUCUCAAAUACACAAUAGUAGAUUCUAUCAAUCAAGUUUCAUAAAGAGUUCUGAUUCCCAGAGAUAGCAGAUUCUGUCAACCACAUUUCAUAAAGAGUUCUGAUUCUAAGAGAGCCAUACACCUGAAGGAGGGAUGGAAAGACUAGGAGAGCCUGGGAUCCUCAGAGAUGGAGAUCUGGAUGUGAAGAGAAAGAGAAAAACAAAAGUCAACAGACAGUACUGUGACCAAGUCAGUGAUGGUGAGAUCAGCAGCAUCUCUAGGACCCUUCUGAUUGACAUGAAGUCACCAUCAAGUAGGCAGAACUCACAGGACUUAUGGAGCAAGGAUGACUGACACAAACACAAAAAUCAUUCUGCCUGUUGAAUGAAUCAUAAAAUACUGUCUUUGAUCCAGGAGGCUUGUGUCAUCUGCCAGCAUUUAUGAAACUGUGCUCCAAGUAGGCUCCUGUAUCAGCAGUGCUUGCCCCUGAUAGAUGAUGAUCAUGGGGGGACCAGGAGCCUCUAGACUUAGAGAACUUUCCCCACCCUCCCUGUGGAGUGUUUCCCUCCCCAGCACCCCCUGCUGGUCAGUUUGACAAACAGAUGAACAGAAGUUCUCAAAUACACAGUAAGCAGAUAACCCCAACAUCACCAGAAAUAUCAACUUGUGAUGGCAUUUUGUCAAGUUGUCUUUGUUAUCGGCAUCAUCUGUUGCUUUCUGAGGGAAGUAUUUUGAGUUCUCCUACUGAGACUGUGGAUUUGCCUAUUUCUUUUUGUAUGUCAGCUUUUGCCAUAUGUAUUUUGUAGUUGUGUUGUGAGGAAGAUUCAUGACUUAUCUUGUGGGAGAAUUCUGUAUUUAGCAGAUUUUCGUCUUAAGUUCUGUUUUGCUUAGUAUUGAUGUUAUUACUUUGCUUUUUCAGUUUCAAAAUCAUUUAGUAUAUCUUUUUCCUUUCUUUUAGCCUUUGUGUUUUUAUUUCAGAUGUGCUUUCUUAUGUACUGACUGUGAUCCCCAAAUUCAUAUGUUGAAGUCCCAACUCCAAAUGUAUUUGGAGGUGGGCCUUUCAGACGUAAUUGAGUUUAGAUGACGUCAUGAGGGUGGAGCCCCCAUGAUGACACUAAGUCCUUCUAAGAAAAGGAAGAGAGUCUGAGCCCUCCUCUACACCAUGUGAGGGCACAGAGAGAGAGCAGCCAUCAACAAGCUGAGAGAGGAGGACUGAGAAUGAAACCUACCUCGCCAGAACCUUGUCAUAUCCCUUCCCGGUUUCCAAACGAGUGAGAAAUCAAUUUCUGUUGUGUAAGCUACUCAGUGUAUGAAACUUUGUUAUGGCAGCCAGAGCAGAUUAAUGCAUGCUUCUUGGACUUUGUUUUUAACUCAAUAUGAAAAACAUAUGUUUUAAUAAAAAAAUUACCCCAUUCAUCUGUAUUGUGUUUACUGAUAAUUUUGGACUUAUUUUUGCCAUAUUUAAGAAAUCCUCCUUCCUCUUUCCCAUGCUUUCUUGUGUUUUUUUAAUCCAAGUGGAUGAUAAGGUUUGGGAAUCACUAUCGUAACAGGACCAUGAAGGGCUAGAUAAGGGAAGCUGGCUUGCAUUCAGGGAAGGGGCAGAGGAGGGAAGCUGCCAG